GCCGCUAUCGUCUAUCGGUUAGGACAGAGGAUUUUCAAUCCUCUAGGCGGGGUUCGACUCCCCGUAGCGGCA
rnacentral:tRNA from 1 species